GUGGGUAGUUUGACUGGGGCGGUCUCCUCCUAAAGAGUAACGGAGGAGCACGAAGGUUGGCUAAUCCUGGUCGGACAUCAGGAGGUUAGUGCAAUGGCAUAAGCCAGCUUGACUGCGAGCGUGACGGCGCGAGCAGGUGCGAAAGCAGGUCAUAGUGAUCCGGUGGUUCUGAAUGGAAGGGCCAUCGCUCAACGGAUAAAAGGUACUCCGGGGAUAACAGGCUGAUACCGCCCAAGAGUUCAUAUCGACGGCGGUGUUUGGCACCUCGAUGUCGGCUCAUCACAUCCUGGGGCUGAAGUAGGUCCCAAGGGUAUGGCUGUUCGCCAUUUAAAGUGGUACGCGAGCUGGGUUUAGAACGUCGUGAGACAGUUCGGUCCCUAUCUGCCGUGGGCGCUGGAGAACUGAGGGGGGCUGCUCCUAGUACGAGAGGACCGGAGUGGACGCAUCACUGGUGUUCGGGUUGUCAUGCCAAUGGCACUGCCCGGUAGCUAAAUGCGGAAGAGAUAAGUGCUGAAAGCAUCUAAGCACGAAACUUGCCCCGAGAUGAGUUCUCCCUGAGACUUAGAGUCUCCUGAAGGAACGUUGAAGACGACGACGUUGAUAGGCCGGGUGUGUAAGCGCAGCGAUGCGUUGAGCUAACCGGUACUAAUGAACCGUGAGGCUUAA
rnacentral:rRNA from 1 species